rnacentral:rRNA from 1 species
CGACUUCCUUACGGGGAGGGCAGCAGGUAAGGGAUCUCGUCAUGACGAAGUUCUGACCCGAGCACGUCGCGUGGAGUGAGGAAAGGUUUUCGAUCGUAAAAACUCUGUUGUUAGAAGAAGAGAAAGGACGUUAGUAACUGAAACGUCCCCUGACGGUAUCUAACCCAGAAAGCCACGGCUAACUACGUGCCAGCAGCCGCGGUAAUACGUAGGUGGCAAGCGUUGUCCGGAUUUAUUGGGCGUAAAGCGAGCGCAGGCGGUUUCUUAAGUCUGAUGUGAAAGCCCCCGGCUCAACCGGGGAGGGUCAUUGGAAACUGGGAGACUUGAGUGCAGAAGAGGAGAGUGGAAUUCCAUGUGUAGCGGUGAAAUGCGUAGAUAUAUGGAGGAACACCAGUGGCGAAGGCGGCUCUCUGGUCUGUAACUGACGCUGAGGCUCGAAAGCGUGGGGAGCAAACAGGAUUAGAUACCCUGGUAGUCCACGCCGUAAACGAUGAGUGCUAAGUGUUGGAGGGUUUCCGCCCUUCAGUGCUGCAGCAAACGCAUUAAGCACUCCGCCUGGGGAGUACGACCGCAAGGUUGAAACUCAAAGGAAUUGACGGGGGCCCGCACAAGCGGUGGAGCAUGUGGUUUAAUUCGAAGCAACGCGAAGAACCUUACCAGGUCUUGACAUCCUUUGACCACUCUAGAGAUAGAGCUUUCCCUUCGGGGACAAAGUGACAGGUGGUGCAUGGUUGUCGUCAGCUCGUGUCGUGAGAUGUUGGGUUAAGUCCCGCAACGAGCGCAACCCUUAUUGUUAGUUGCCAUCAUUUAGUUGGGCACUCUAGCGAGACUGCCGGUGACAAACCGGAGGAAGGUGGGGAUGACGUCAAAUCAUCAUGCCCCUUAUGACCUGGGCUACACACGUGCUACAAUGGGAAGUACAACGAGUCGCUAGACCGCGAGGUCAUGCAAAUCUCUUAAAGCUUCUCUCAGUUCGGAUUGCAGGCUGCAACUCGCCUGCAUGAAGCCGGAAUCGCUAGUAAUCGCGGAUCAGCACGCCGCGGUGAAUACGUUCCCGGGCCUUGUACACACCGCCCGUCACACCACGAGAGUUUGUAACACCCGAAGUCGGUGAGGUAACCUUUUUGGAGCCAGCCGCCUAAGGUGGGAUAGAUGAUGGGGUGAAGUCGAGCACGUAAACGCU